rnacentral:rRNA from 1 species
UACGUAGGGUCCGAGCGUUGUCCGGAAUUAUUGGGCGUAAAGGGCUCGUAGGCGGUUUGUCGCGUCGGGAGUGAAAACUCAGGGCUCAACCCUGAGCGUGCUUCCGAUACGGGCAGACUAGAGGUAUGCAGGGGAGAACGGAAUUCCUGGUGUAGCGGUGGAAUGCGCAGAUAUCAGGAGGAACACCGGUGGCGAAGGCGGUUCUCUGGGCAUUACCUGACGCUGAGGAGCGAAAGCGUGGGGAGCAAACAGG